rnacentral:rRNA from 1 species
ACAUGUCCUUUUGUUAAUUAUAUAAGGUAUAACCUGCCCAAUGAUUAUUUGAAUGGCCGCGGUAUAUUAACUGUGCUAAGGUAGCAUAAUAAUUUGUCUUUUAAUUAAAGGCUAGAAUGAAUGGUUGGACGAAGUAUUAGCUUUCUUUGAUUUAAAUUAUGAAUUUAAUUUUUUAGUUAAAAAGCUAAAAUUUUUUUGAGGGACGAGAAGACCCUAUAGAUCUUUAUAAUUGUAUAUAUUAGUUAUUUUAGUAAUUAAAUUAUUUUGAUAAAUACACUUAUUUGGUUGGGGUGAUUGUGAAAUAGUUUAAACUUUUAUUUAUUUGUUUUCAUUAAUUAGUGUUUUAUUGAUCCAGAAUAUUUUUGAUUAAAAGAUUAAGUUACCUUAGGGAUAACAGCGUAAUUCUUUUGGAGAGUUCAAAUCGAUAAAGGAGUUUGCGACCUCGAUGUUGGAUUAAAAUAAGUUUAAGGUGUAGGAGCUUUAAAACUAGGUCUGUUCGACCUUUAAUUUUUUACAUGAUCU